CCUACGGGAGGCAGCAGUAGGGAAUAUUGCUCAAUGGGGGAAACCCUGAAGCAGCAACGCCGCGUGGAGGAUGAAGGUUUUCGGAUUGUAAACUCCUUUUGUUAGAGAAGAAAAUGACGGUAACUAACGAAUAAGCACCGGCUAACUCCGUGCCAGCAGCCGCGGUAAUACGGAGGGUGCAAGCGUUACUCGGAAUCACUGGGCGUAAAGAGGGCGUAGGCGGGAUAGCAAGUCAGAUGUGAAAUCCUAUGGCUUAACCAUAGAACUGCAUUUGAAACUGUUAUUCUAGAGUAUGGGAGAGGUAGGUGGAAUUCUUGGUGUAGGGGUGAAAUCCGUAGAGAUCAAGAGGAAUACUCAUUGCGAAGGCGACCUGCUAGAACAUAACUGACGCUGAUGCGCGAAAGCGUGGGGAGCAAACAGGAUUAGAUACCCCUGUAGUC
rnacentral:rRNA from 1 species